rnacentral:rRNA from 1 species
UGAGGAAUCUUGCGCAAUGGGGGAAACCCUGACGCAGCAACGCCGCGUGAGUGAGGAAGGUCUUCGGGUCGUAAAGCUCUGUCAGGCGGGAAGAAAUGCAUGGAGGUGAACAGCCGCCAUGCUUGACGGUACCGCCAGAGGAAGCACCGGCUAACUCCGUGCCAGCAGCCGCGGUAAUACGGGGGGUGCAAGCGUUGUUCGGAAUCAUUGGGCGUAAAGAGCGUGUAGGCGGCUUGGUAAGUCAGAUGUGAAAGCCCUGGGCUCAACUCAGGAAGUGCAGUUGAAACUGCCAGGCUCGAGUAGGGGAGAGGGAAGUGGAAUUCCUGGUGUAGAGGUGAAAUUCGUAGAUAUCAGGAGGAACACCGGCGGCGAAGGCGACUUCCUGGCCCUAUACUGACGCUGAGACGCGAGAGCGUGGGUAGCAAACAG